AGUUGCUCCCGGGGGGAAAUUUGUCUUGAAAACAAAUUAAGAGUGUUCAAUUCACUCAGUAACUU
rnacentral:tRNA from 1 species